CAGAGCUCUUUGUGGUGUCAUCCCAGCUCUGACACGUAUUUACUAGGCAAUUAUGGCAGGUGCGCAAAUAAUUCCACAGUUAGUUGUGACACACACAGCAGGGCUUAGGGAGCUGUUGUUGAAUUGACUAGCGUGGGAGAGUAUGAGACCCUUGUAAAGCGCAAUCCAGUUUUCACCAGGCUAGAAUUCCUUUCAUUUGUCAGAACCAGAUAUGUACUGUAAUUGAAAAGUCAGCCAUUUAGCUACAGAGUCAGGAACAAAGCAAGCCAUCAUCUUGUCAGUUUCUGCAGGCUAUAAUGUAAACUGGGAUUUUAGUCAAGCUGUAAAUCCAAUGGUGGUCCUAGAAUUAUCAUACUGUGGAGUAAAAAACUCACAAAAUACAAGGUGUAUGGCAAUUUGUUGGUCACCAUUUCAGAAGAAUUACAGCUGCUGGUGCAGUGUGCAACUGAUCGCUGGAAUAGUCAUUGUCGUCUUCUAUUACAGGCUGUGUCCUCUGAUCCUGGUUUCUGUAUACAAUAAGCCCUCUUCCACAUCCAACUCCCAAUUCUAUUAAGUAUACAGUAGAUAUCCUUCUUCCUGGUGUUGAUGGCUGAAGUGUAAUGCUGGCUCCAGGGAUCAGACUAUUUAGCCUCCCUGGCGCAUCGGCACACACAACGUCUGCAAUGCUGGCUUCAGGAAUCAACCACAGUGCAGCCUCCCUAGCGCAUCAGCAUGACAACUGUCUGGACUGAGCUGAGUAGGGUACUUCUCUGGGGUCUUCAAGUGGGCACCUUCCAUCCUUGGUGUUCCGUUGACUAGCCCAGGACACCUUAAGAGGGCUCAACAGUGAUUCUGGUGUCCCAGCAUC